UACAGAGGGUGCAAGCGUUAAUCGGAAUUACUGGGCGUAAAGCGUGCGUAGACGGUUACAUAAGUCGGGUGUGAAAGCCCCGGGCUCAACCUGGGAAUUGCAUUCGAGACUGCGUAGCUAGGGUGCGGAAGAGGGAAGCGGAAUUUCCGGUGUAGCGGUGAAAUGCGUAGAUAUCGGAAGGAACACCAGUGGCGAAAGCGGCUUCCUGGACCAUUACUGACGCUGAUGCACGAAAGCGAGGGGAGCAAACAGG
rnacentral:rRNA from 1 species